rnacentral:lncRNA from 1 species
CGGAGGCGAGGGAGUAGAGCUCCGCGGCGGCCGGCGGGGAAGUGCGGGUGGAGCGGACCGACCCCGUGGUGGCGCAUCUCGGCCUUGUGGACCAUCCUCGGGGCCUUCUUCUUGCACUUGCCGUCGGUGACGGGCCUGCGGAUCGGAAGCUACUACGUCAGCAGUAGUGGGGCAUGAGCACGGCCCUCGCGCGCGUCCAUUUACUCCCGACGUGAGCUCCAUUCAUACAACGAUGGAGAUAAACAGUGGAAUAACCCAUUGACUGAAAGGCGACCCCAAACGAAACGAGAUCUGGAACCGCACCAAGAACGAGCAAGGGGCCUUACCCACGGUGGACGAGCUUCUCGGCGGCGCCGACACUGGUGGUUGGGGCAGCGCCGGUGCUGGUGGCUGGGGCGGCGUCUCCCCUCGCGGCGGGCAGCAUGGCGACCAUACCCUGCUCGCCAG